rnacentral:lncRNA from 1 species
GGGGGUUAAUGAUUUAUAUGUACUAAGAAAUAGCCUAACAGACAAGAAAAACUAAUUAUGUAAUGUAAUAGACAUUUGUGAUUAUUUUGUAUUUUUUGUAUAUUUGUUAUGUUAUAUUUAAUAACACCUCAUUACAAAUAUUCUACUUUUACUCUCAAAUUUGCAAAAUUAGCAUUUUUUAUUCCAAAAUAUUUCAAUAUACGAGAUACAUAUAUGAUAUGAUAAUGUAUGUUUGUAAAUAUGGUCAGGUUUGUCUUGGUAUUUACCCAAUAUUUGUAGAUUACACCAAUAGAAUGAUUUGAUUUUAUCUUAUUUGCACACUCUUGAAAUGCAUUAUUUGUAAACAAAGGUGCUUUUGUCGCUACUCUUUUACUAUUGCAUUUACAUACAUACGACUAUUUACAGAUUGAAUUUCAUUCGUUUACAA